ACUCAAAGGAAUUGACGGGGGCCCGCACAAGCGGAGGAACAUGUGGUUUAAUUCGAUGAUACGCGAGGAACCUUACCCGGGCUUGAAAUGCAUCUGACGUGGGCAGAGACGCCCAUUCCCCUCGGGGCAGAUGUGUAGGUGCUGCAUGGUUGUCGUCAGCUCGUGCCGUGAGGUGUCGGCUUAAGUGCCAUAACGAGCGCAACCCUCAUCAUUAGUUACCAUCAGGUGAAGCUGGGGACUCUAAUGAGACUGCCAUCGUAAGAUGCGAGGAAGGUGGGGAUGACGUCAAAUCAGCACGGCCCUUACGUCCGGGGCGACACACGUGUUACAAUGGGUGGUACAAAGGGCAGCUACAUGGCGACAUGAUGCUAAUCUCCAAAACCGCUCUCAGUUCGGAUCGGAGUCUGCAACUCGACUCCGUGAAGCUGGAUUCGCUAGUAAUCGCGCAUCAGCCACGGCGCGGUGAAUACGUUCCCGGGCCUUGUACACACCGCCCGU
rnacentral:rRNA from 1 species